CCUAUCUGCUUCCCCAAGAAACACGGGUUUGGGGAAUGUUUGGAUAUCCAGCUGGCCAAAUGUCUAUGCUCUCCCAGCCCAUCAAAGGGCGUGGAAGGUUUCCACAACAGACUGGCAAGAGAGUAGGAACAGGACAGGCAAUUCCCCUGUGUGGAAAGCAGCGUCCUGAGAGAAACCACUGGUCUCUGUGCCCUGGGAGGAGUCCAGACGCCAUCUUUGUUGUCCGAAGUCAGUCUUGUGACUGUCAACAACCCCUGGAAUAGUUGGGCAAAUGCCCGGUCAUGACUCAAUACCGAGAUACACACAAGUCACCCUGGACUCGGUUUCUUCAGCCUCGACAGCUGGUCCACUGGCAGGCCGUCUGCCCCAACAACCAAGUGCAUACUCCAUGCUGACAUGCGUGUGGACCCCAGCUGCC